CCGCGAACGGGUGAGUAACACGUGGGUUACCUGCCUCAAUGACCGGGACAACCCGAGGAAACUCGGGCUAAUACCGGAUGUGCCCGCAAGGGGAAAGGAAGCUUCGGCCUCCGCAUUGAGAUGGGCCCGCGACCCAUUAGCUUGUUGGUGAGGUAACGGCUCACCAAGGCUUCGAUGGGUAGCUGGUCUGAGAGGACGAUCAGCCACACUGGGACUGAGACACGGCCCAG
rnacentral:rRNA from 1 species